rnacentral:rRNA from 1 species
UACGUAGGUGGCAAGCGUUGUCCGGAAUUAUUGGGCGUAAAGCGCGCGCAGGCGGUCCUUUAAGUCUGAUGUGAAAGCCCACGGCUCAACCGUGGAGGGUCAUUGGAAACUGGGGGACUUGAGUACAGAAGAGAAGAGUGGAAUUCCACGUGUAGCGGUGAAAUGCGUAGAGAUGUGGAGGAACACCAGUGGCGAAGGCGACUCUUUGGUCUGUAACUGACGCUGAGGCGCGGAAAGCGUGGGGAGCAAACAGG